CUCGGUUGAUCCUGCCGGACCCGACUGCUAUCAGAGUGGGACUAAGCCAUGCGAGUCAACAUAGCAAUAUGUGGCAUACGGCUCAGUAACACGUAGUCAACAUGCCCAGGGGACGUGGAUAACCUCGGGAAACUGAGGAUAAACCGCGAUAGGUCAUCACUUCUGGAAUGGGUAAUGACUUAAAUCUAUAUGGCCCCUGGAUUGGACUGCGGCCGAUCAGGCUGUUGGUGAGGUAAUGGCCCACCAAACCUGUAACCGGUACGGGCUCUGAGAGGAGGAGCCCGGAGAUGGGCACUGAGACAAGGGCCCAGGCCCUAUGGGGCGCAGCAGGCGCGAAACCUCUGCAAUAGGCGAAAGCUUGACAGGGUUACUCUGAGUGAUUUCCGUUAAGGAGAUCUUUUGGCACCUCUAAAAAUGGUGCAGAAUAAGGGGUGGGCAAGUCUGGUGUCAGCCGCCGCGGUAAUACCAGCACCCCGAGUGGUCGGGACGUUUAUUGGGCCUAAAGCAUCCGUAGCCGGUUCUACAAGUCUUCCGUUAAAUCCACCUGCUUAACAGAUGGGCUGCGGAAGAUACUAUAGAGCUAGGAGGCGGGAGAGGCAAGCGGUACUCGAUGGGUAGGGGUAAAAUCCGUUGAUCCAUUGAAGACCACCAGUGGCGAAGGCGGCUUGCCAGAACGCGCUCGACGGUGAGGGAUGAAAGCUGGGGGAGCAAACCGGAUUAGAUACCCGGGUAGUCCCAGCUGUAAACGAUGCAGACUCGGUGAUGAGUUGGCUUAUUGCUAACUCAGUGCCGCAGGGAAGCCGUUAAGUUUGCCGCCUGGGGAGUACGGUCGCAAGACUGAAACUUAAAGGAAUUGGCGGGGGAGCA
rnacentral:rRNA from 1 species